rnacentral:piRNA from 1 species
UCUUUCUCUGUCUACUUCACUCCCUUC